rnacentral:tRNA from 1 species
CAGCGUAUAGUUUAAUUAAAAUAUUAGUUUUGGAGACUAAGGUUGUAGUAUUCUCUAUUUUGCUGA